AAAAGUAGAGGACAAUUGUUGCAACAAUUGGUAUCACAAAGAACUAAUAUUAUAGAAAGAAUGAUCAUAACUUUAGAUGAGCUUGAGAAGGCAACAAACAAAUUUGAUAAUGCUCGUGAGCUUGGUGGUGGGGGGCAUGGCACAAUCUACAAAGGGAUCCUAUCAGAUCUCCAUGUUGUAGCAAUCAAGAAACCAAAGACAGCAGUUCAAAAGGAGAUUGAUGAAUUCAUUAAUGAGGUGGCUAUCCUAUCACAGAUCAAUCAUAGAAAUGUGGUAAAACUCUAUGGUUGUUGCCUUGAAACAGAGGUCCCGCUGUUGGUCUACAAGUUUAUAUCCAACGGUACCCUUUGUGAUCAUCUCCAUGUUGACGGACCAAGUUCAUUGUCAUGGAAUGAUAGGCUACGGAUAGCAACUGAGACUGCCAGGUCUUUAGCCUAUCUUCACUCAACAGCUUUAGUACCCAUCAUCCAUAGAGAUAUCAAGUCUGUUAACAUACUUUUGGUUGAUACUCUAACAGCAAAAGUCGCAGACUUUGGAGCUUCAAGAUAUGUUCCGGUGGAUAGAUUAGGAGUCACAACAAGAGUGCAAGGUACAAGAGGAUAUCUAGACCCCAUGUAUUUCUAUACAGGGCGGCUCACGGAAAAAAGUGAUGUGUACAGCUGUGGUUUCCUUCUUCUGGAGUUGUUGACUAGAAAGAAACCAUUUUCAUUCAUCUCUUCGGAAGAUGAAGGCCUCGUUACACAUUAUUAA
rnacentral:rRNA from 1 species